GUACAAAUUGCAAACUAUUUACAUGAAAACUCGAGCCCCUUGAAGAUGCGAUCCGGAGGAGCAGCGAAAAAAAAAAAAAAAAAGGUUCCGCGCAGCACAGAAUCCACCAAAUAUUAGGUUUUAAAAAAAAUUUGAACGACUCCAUAUCUAAGUUAAGACAGGUCAAGCACCACCCUCCCCUUAAGAUCCCCCCUUUCCAUUUCCUUGAAUACGUCCGUUAGUGCAUCCAUUUUCUCCGUUCGGAAAUGCACUUGGAUAAUCCCCCGCGCCCCGAAUUCCAUAGUCUCAAUUGACUCCCGCUUAGUUCCCACUGCAGACCCUACGAUGGAAAGCUGUUUCCCGAUAAGGUGCGCAGGGAACGACGAC
rnacentral:sRNA from 1 species